rnacentral:rRNA from 1 species
GACGAACGCUGGCGGCGUGCCUAAUACAUGCAAGUAGAACGCUGAAGAGAGGAGCUUGCUCUUCUUGGAUGAGUUGCGAACGGGUGAGUAACGCGUAGGUAACCUGCCUGGUAGCGGGGGAUAACCAUUGGAAACGAUAGCUAAUACCGCAUAAAAUUGAUUAUUGCAUGAUAAUUAAUUGAAAGAUGCAAUUGCAUCACUACCAGAUGGACCUGCGUUGUAUUAGCUAGUUGGUGAGGUAAUGGCUCACCAAGGCGACGAUACAUAGCCGACCUGAGAGGGUGAUCGGCCACACUGGGACUGAGACACGGCCCAGACUCCUACGGGAGGCAGCAGUAGGGAAUCUUCGGCAAUGGGGGGAACCCUGACCGAGCAACGCCGCGUGAGUGAAGAAGGUUUUCGGAUCGUAAAGCUCUGUUGUAAGAGAAGAACGGGUGUGAGAGUGGAAAGUUCACACUGUGACGGUAUCUUACCAGAAAGGGACGGCUAACUACGUGCCAGCAGCCGCGGUAAUACGUAGGUCCCGAGCGUUGUCCGGAUUUAUUGGGCGUAAAGCGAGCGCAGGCGGUUAGAUAAGUCUGAAGUUAAAGGCUGUGGCUUAACCAUAGUAUGCUUUGGAAACUGUUUAACUUGAGUGCAGAAGGGGAGAGUGGAAUUCCAUGUGUAGCGGUGAAAUGCGUAGAUAUAUGGAGGAACACCGGUGGCGAAAGCGGCUCUCUGGUCUGUAACUGACGCUGAGGCUCGAAAGCGUGGGGAGCAAACAGGAUUAGAUACCCUGGUAGUCCACGCCGUAAACGAUGAGUGCUAGGUGUUAGGCCCUUUCCGGGGCUUAGUGCCGCAGCUAACGCAUUAAGCACUCCGCCUGGGGAGUACGACCGCAAGGUUGAAACUCAAAGGAAUUGACGGGGGCCCGCACAAGCGGUGGAGCAUGUGGUUUAAUUCGAAGCAACGCGAAGAACCUUACCAGGUCUUGACAUCCCUCUGACCGCUCUAGAGAUAGAGUUUUCCUUCGGGACAGAGGUGACAGGUGGUGCAUGGUUGUCGUCAGCUCGUGUCGUGAGAUGUCGGGUUAAGUCCCGCAACGAGCGCAACCCCUAUUGUUAGUUGCCAUCAUUGAGUUGGGCACUCUAGCGAGACUGCCGGUAAUAAACCGGAGGAAGGUGGGGAUGACGUCAAAUCAUCAUGCCCCUUAUGACCUGGGCUACACACGUGCUACAAUGGCUGGUACAACGAGUCGCAAGCCGGUGACGGCAAGCUAAUCUCUGAAAGCCAGUCUCAGUUCGGAUUGUAGGCUGCAACUCGCCUACAUGAAGUCGGAAUCGCUAGUAAUCGCGGAUCAGCACGCCGCGGUGAAUACGUUCCCGGGCCU